rnacentral:tRNA from 1 species
AGAGAUAUGGCUCAAGUGGUAGAGUGUCUGCCUAGCAAGCCAAAGGCCCUGAGUUCAAACCUCAGUACCAUCA